rnacentral:lncRNA from 12 species
AAAGGAACAAGUAGUCAUUGAAGUUUUAUGUAGAGACCUGUUUAUGUAGUGUUUCAGACGUGCUCACACAAUCGCAUACAAGUAAAAUGGGACUAAACCACUUCCAUGGUAUUUCCGGUCUUGCCCAGCAUCUGAUGAAGUUCCCAGAACUUAAUAGUGGCUGUUGGGGCCCAGAAUGGAGAUGCUGUUUGUGAACAGAACUGGACUAAGUGGAGAAAGAAGUGUCGUGGGAUUAGAAUAUCUGCAAGAAAAGAGAGAUAUUACACUGCAAUGAAAUCAUCAAAAGGAAGACAUUUGAAGAGAAGAGUACAUAUAAAAGGUUCUGGUCAAGAAGACACUGAUUGUAGCACUCCUUAAAAAGCUACUCAACUAGAAAUUGUCCUUAUAAAUUAAUUGUUAUCCAUAAAGUUGUUAUGAAACCUGAAACUACUGAAGUCAACUCUUUGGAAAGUAAUAAAAUUAAAGCACAUUCCUCA